AGUGAACGCUGGCGGUAGGCCUAACACAUGCAAGUCGAACGGCAGCACAGUAAGAGCUUGCUCUUACGGGUGGCGAGUGGCGGACGGGUGAGGAAUACAUCGGAAUCUACUUUUUCGUGGGGGAUAACGUAGGAAAACUUACGCUAAUACCGCAUACGACCUACGGGUGAAAGCAGUGGAUCUUCGGACCUUGCGCGAUUGAAUUAGCCGAUGUCGGAUUAGCUAGUUGGCUGGGUAAAGGCCCACCAAGGCGACGAUCCGUAGCUGGUCUGAGAGGAUGAUCAGCCACACUGGAACUGAGACACGGUCCAGACUCCUACGGGAGGCAGCAGUGGGGAAUAUUGGACAAUGGGCGAAAGCCUGAUCCAGCCAUACCGCGUGGGUGAAGAAGGCCUUCGGGUUGUAAAGCCCUUUUGUUGGGAAAGAAAAGCAGCAGGUUAAUACCCCGCUGUUCUGACGGUACCCAAAGAAUAAGCACCGGCUAACUUCGUG
rnacentral:rRNA from 1 species